rnacentral:rRNA from 1 species
GACGUAGGGGGCGAGCGUUGUCCGGAAUUACUGGGCGUAAAGCGCGUGCAGGCGGCCUGGUAAGUCCCGUGUGAAAGCCUACGGCUCAACUGUAGGAGGUCGCGGGAAACUGCUGGGCUCGAGGGCAGGAGAGGGAAGUAGAAUUCCCGGUGUAGCGGUGAAAUGCGUAGAUAUCGGGAGGAAUGCCAGUGGCGAAGGCGGCUUCCUGGCCUGCCCCUGACGCUGAGACGCGAAAGCUGGGGGAGCGAACGGG